GUGGGGAAUUUUGGACAAUGGGCGAAAGCCUGAUCCAGCCAUGCCGCGUGCAGGAUGAAGGCCUUCGGGUUGUAAACUGCUUUUGUACGGAACGAAAAGACUCUGGUUAAUACCUGGGGUCCAUGACGGUACCGUAAGAAUAAGCACCGGCUAACUACGUGCCAGCAGCCGCGGUAAUACGUAGGGUGCAAGCGUUAAUCGGAAUUACUGGGCGUAAAGCGUGCGCAGGCGGUUAUAUAAGACAGAUGUGAAAGCCCCGGGCUCAACCUGGGAACUGCAUUUGUGACUGUAUAGCUAGAGUACGGCAGAGGGGGAUGGAAUUCCGCGUGUAGCAGUGAAAUGCGUAGAUAUGCGGAGGAACACCGAUGGCGAAGGCAAUCCCCUGGGCCUGUACUGACGCUCAUGCACGAAAGCGUGGGGAGCAAACAGGAUUAGAAACCCCGGUAGUCC
rnacentral:rRNA from 1 species